rnacentral:rRNA from 1 species
AUUGAACGCUGGCGGCAGGCCUAACACAUGCAAGUCGAGCGGAUGAAGGGAGCUUGCUCCUGGAUUCAGCGGCGGACGGGUGAGUAAUGCCUAGGAAUCUGCCUGGUAGUGGGGGAUAACGUCCGGAAACGGGCGCUAAUACCGCAUACGUCCUGAGGGGAAAGGGGGGGAUCUUCGGAACUCACGGUAUCAGAUGAGCCUAGGUCGGAUUAGCUAGUUGGUGGGGUAAAGGCCUACCAAGGCGACGAUCCGUAACUGGUCUGAGAGGAUGAUCAGUCACACUGGAACUGAGACACGGUCCAGACUCCUACGGGAGGCAGCAGUGGGGAAUAUUGGACAAUGGGCGAAAGCCUGAUCCAGCCAUGCCGCGUGUGUGAAGAAGGUCUUCGGAUUGUAAAGCACUUUAAGUUGGGAGGAAGGGCAGUAAGUUAAUACCUUGCUGUUUUGACGUUACCAACAGAAUAAGCACCGGCUAACUUCGUG